rnacentral:rRNA from 1 species
UGAGGAAUAUUGCACAAUGGGCGCAAGCCUGAUGCAGCGACGCCGCGUGUGGGAUGAAGGGGCUACGCCUCGUAAACCACUGUAGCCCGGGACGAAAAACGCCUUAGAGGCGUUAGACGGUACCGGGAAAGUAAGGGUCGGCUAACUACGUGCCAGCAGCCGCGGUAAUACGUAGGACCCAAGCGUUAAUCGGAAUUACUGGGCGUAAAGCGUGCGCAGGCGGUUUUGUAAGACAGAGGUGAAAUCCCCGGGCUCAACCUGGGAACUGCCUUUGUGACUGCAAGGCUGGAGUGCGGCAGAGGGGGAUGGAAUUCCGCGUGUAGCAGUGAAAUGCGUAGAUAUGCGGAGGAACACCGAUGGCGAAGGCAAUCCCCUGGGCCUGCACUGACGCUCAUGCACGAAAGCGUGGGGAGCAAACA